UGUGAUAGCCAGUCAACAAAGCAAUUACCACUAUGAUCAUUUGCUAGCUAGUCCUUAAAACAAGAUCCAUUUAAGCAGGACAGUUUAUCAAGCGGUCGGGGCCUGUGCAUCCUGGACAGAGAGAGGAAAUGCCCGUUGUUGCUUCUGGAAUAGUCUAGGCUUGGCAACAAAACUCAUUACAUUUCUUACAGCAUCAACUGAACCAGGAAUGUGCUCUGUCAUCUCCUCCUGAAGCAUGAAGAGAAAGGCCUCCAGUACCCCACCAAAUCUCCUGAAGGCCUUCAAUGAUGCACAAGAGGACAAAGACCGUUUAACAUGAGUAAAGAGCUGGGAGCGAGAACCAUAUACCCACAAGUCAGUUUGUGGUCGGAAUGGUUUUCUUGGUUUCUAGGUUGUUUCAGCAUGGCGUGUGAAUGGAAUGCAGACAUCUGACCUGCUGGG